rnacentral:rRNA from 1 species
CGCGUAGGUGGUAAAGCAAGUAAGAUGUGAAAGCCCUGGGCUUAACCUGGGAAGUGCAUCUUAAACUGCUUAACUAGAGUACGAUAGAGGGUAGUGGAAUUUCCGGUGUAGCGGUGAAAUGCGUAGAUAUCGGAAGGAACGCCAGUGGUGAAGACGACUACCUGGAUCGAUACUGACACUGAGGCGCGAAAGCGUGGGGAUCAAACAGGAUUAGAUACCCUGGUAGUCCACGCUGUAAACGAUGAGGACUGGAUGUCAGGCAGCUUGGCUGCUUGGUAUCGAAGCUAACGCGAUAAGUUCUCCGCCUGGGAAGUACGGUCGCAAGAUUAAA